UACGUAGGGGGCUAGCGUUGUCCGGAAUCAUUGGGCGUAAAGCGCGUGUAGGCGGUCCGGUAAGUCUGCUGUUAAAGAGUGAGGCUCAACCUCAUAAAGGCAGUGGAAACUACAUGGCUAGAGUGCGUUCGGGGCAGAGGGAAUUCCUGGUGUAGCGGUGAAAUGCGUAGAGAUCAGGAAGAACACCGGUGGCGAAAGCGCUCUGCUGGGCCGCAACUGACACUGAGGGACGAAAGCUAGGGGAGCGAAUGGG
rnacentral:rRNA from 1 species